UAGAUCGUAGUGUAUAAGGAAGCACAAAGAGUUUUGAUUUCUUCAGGUCGGGUUCAACUCCCCACUUUCUAA
rnacentral:tRNA from 1 species